UCACAUAAAUUGAAACGGAGG
rnacentral:miRNA from 1 species